rnacentral:rRNA from 1 species
AUUGAACGCUGGCGGCAGGCUUAACACAUGCAAGUCGAGCGGAAACGAUGGGAGCUUGCUCCCAGGCGUCGAGCGGCGGACGGGUGAGUAACACUUAGGAAUCUACCUAGUAGUGGGGGAUAGCUCGGGGAAACUCGAAUUAAUACCGCAUACGUCCUACGGGAGAAAGGGGGCAACUUGUUGCUCUCGCUAUUAGAUGAGCCUAAGUCGGAUUAGCUAGUUGGUGGGGUAAAGGCCUACCAAGGCGACGAUCUGUAGCUGGUCUGAGAGGAUGAUCAGCCACACCGGGACUGAGACACGGCCCGGACUCCUACGGGAGGCAGCAGUGGGGAAUAUUGGACAAUGGGGGCAACCCUGAUCCAGCCAUGCCGCGUGUGUGAAGAAGGCCUUUUGGUUGUAAAGCACUUUAAGCAGUGAAGAAGACCAUAUGGUUAAUACCCAUAUGCGAUGACAUUAGCUGCAGAAUAAGCACCGGCUAACUCUGUGCCAGCAGCCGCGGUAAUACAGAGGGUGCAAGCGUUAAUCGGAAUUACUGGGCGUAAAGCGAGCGUAGGUGGCUUGAUAAGUCAGAUGUGAAAUCCCCGGGCUUAACCUGGGAACUGCAUCUGAUACUGUCAGGCUAGAAUAGGUGAGAGGAAGGUAGAAUUCCAGGUGUAGCGGUGAAAUGCGUAGAGAUCUGGAGGAAUACCGAUGGCGAAGGCAGCCUUCUGGCAUCAUAUUGACACUGAGGUUCGAAAGCGUGGGUAGCAAACAGG